rnacentral:rRNA from 1 species
AUUGAACGCUGGCGGAAUGCUUUACGCAUGCAAGUCGAGCGGCAGCACGGGGGCAACCCUGGUGGCGAGCGGCGAACGGGUGAGUAAUACAUCGGAAUAUGCCCAGUCGUGGGGGAUAACACUUCGAAAGAAGUGCUAAUACCGCAUACGUCCUGAGGGAGAAAGCGGGGGAUCUUCGGACCUCGCGCGAUUGGAGUGGCCGAUGUCAGAUUAGCUAGUUGGUGGGGUAAAGGCCUACCAAGGCAACGAUCUGUAGCUGGUCUGAGAGGAGGAUCAGCCACACUGGGACUGAGACACGGCCCAGACUCCUACGGGAGGCAGCAGUGGGGAAUUUUGGACAAUGGGGGCAACCCUGAUCCAGCCAUUCCGCGGGAGUGAAGAAGGCCUUCGGGUUGUAAAGCUCUUUCGGCAGGAACGAAACGGCGAGCUCUAACAUAGCUUGCUAAUGACGGUACCUGAAGAAGAAGCACCGGCUAACUACGUGCCAGCAGCCGCCGUAACAC